rnacentral:rRNA from 1 species
AUUGAACGCUGGCGGCAGGCCUAACACAUGCAAGUCGAACGAGUGGCGGACGGGUGAGUAAUGUCUGGGAAACUGCCUGAUGGAGGGGGAUAACUACUGGAAACGGUAGCUAAUACCGCAUACCAUCGGAUGUGCCCAGAGGGGAUUAGCUAGUAGGGGGGGUAACGGCUCACCUAGGCGACGAUCCCUAGCUGGUCUGAGAGGAUGACCAGCCACACUGGAACUGGGACACGGUCCAGACUCCUACGGGAGGCAGCAGUGGGAAUUAUUGCAAAAUGGGCGAAAGCCUGAGGCAGCCAUGCCGCGUGGAUGAAGAAGGCCUUCGGGUUGUAAAGUACUUUCAGCGGGGAGGCGUUACCCGCAGAAGAAGCACCGGCUAACUCCGUGCCAGCAGCCGCGGUAAUAC